rnacentral:lncRNA from 1 species
GCUUGAAUUUUCAAUUUCAAUCUUUUCUUUGUUUAUAUUGAUAGAUAAUCUGUUAACAUUUACUUUUGAUUUGAUGGAUUCUUCCGUAGUUAAAGCUUUUAGCAAUGAGGUUGGAAUUGAGUAUUUGACUUUUGAAAUUUCUGCUAUCCAAUUUUUAGUGUUUCGCAGUUUUUUAAAUAUUUUAUCUUGGGCAAUUUUUCCUUUAUCGUCAAUAAUAUCGUUAAUAUAAAUAAAAUCACUGUGUAUCCAGUUAAGCAUAAUAAGCGGCUUAUUUUGAAAUUUUAUAAAUUUAUUACCCCAUAUAACUUGCUUUCUUAUUUCGACAAAGUUUUUCAAUUCUGUGUUGUUCGUUUCAUGAAAUAGAAUCCAACUUUUUAUUAUUUCUAAGUAAAAUUCUGGAAUGUCCUUAGUUAUGUAAUCUAGUUUUUUAAAUGUUUGGUUGUUUAAAUUCAUUCUAAAAAUGAGGAAAUUUUCUCCUAAUUUAUUUAAAAAUAGCUUUGGUAUCAAUGUCCAAUUUUCUUGUUUUGCCUGUAGCAAUCUAGAGACCCAUCUUAUUUUAAGAGAGGAGAAGUAGCUUUUUAUGUCGGUCAUUUUAAGCCCUCCCUGGUUGUAAUCUGCUACCAAAGUAUGUCUUUUAACUUUGUCUUUCUUACUAUUCCAUAUGAAACUAAAGAUUUCUCUUUCUAUAUCAACUAUUUUUGAGUUACUUAAAACUGUAACAUUUGCUAAAAAAGUAAAUUGUGGUAUAAUGAGAGUUUUAACUAUAAGAAUUUUACCUAAAAUGGUUAAGUUUCUU